GAGGGCAUAGCUCAGUGGUAGAGCGCAUGCUUAGCAUGCACAAGGUCUUGGGUUCAAUCCCCAAUACCUCCG
rnacentral:tRNA from 1 species